UGUUCCUUUGUGCUUCUUCAUCAACGUAAGUUUCUCCGAAUCUGUUUAUGUUUGAUCUAUCCAUAUAUUCAGUUGAUUAUCUCUUUGUCUUCCUAUUUUGUUAGUUUAUUUGUUUAGUGUCUCCUUUGUGUUUGCCUACCUGUUCAUAAUCUUUGAAUCAACCUGUUUAUAUGCGAGGAAAGACGAGAGAAUCUGGACUGAAUUGGUCACAGCUAUACAUAACUCCUUGUAAAUCCAAGUUCAUUUGUUUCAUAAUAGUGUAGCUUGCGCAAUACGAACACAAUCUCUAUGGGACUAGGAAAAGAAUCAAAUAUAACACCGAUGGCCUACAUUCUGCCACCACCACCAUCAGCAGGAGACGAAAGGCCGGAGCUACACCCACCACCUUCCCCCGCGCCUCUUGGGACUGGGUUAGCAAGUUGUUUAUGAAUCCUGUAGCUUCCAAUCUUGCCUCUCUUUCCAGCAAUCCAGCAGUGGGACGUUUUCACAUCCAAUACCGACAAAUUCAAUUCAUACGCAGACUGACAAAGAAAAAGACGAGCCAGCCUUGCCACCUGCCGCUUUUUCCUCGCUUCCAUUCCUGUCAUAAAGCGCAAUGAAAAGUUCCGUUCUUUGUCCGUCUCCCCGCCGUUGUAAUUUACCUUAUAAAGAGUUAAAAAUACUCCCCGCACGAUAUCAAAAGGUACACAAUCGAGUUUUCAUAUAGGAGCGAAUCCCACUUUCUCCUUCCCACACCCACACGUAUAAAAAAGUGACAUAUAAAUUAACAAAGAUACAAAAAAGUAGCCAUGCAACGCCUGGAGGAGGAGGAGCGCGUUGCGUCAUGACUUGCAGGCCGCCCAGACCCAGACCACGCCCGACCCUAUUGUGUCGAGGACUUUGGGUCAAACGUGGGAGAUUCGCGAGGAUGAGUGUCUGUGUGACGCCACGGCAGGAGUCACGCUGAGCCACGCAGAUCCUCGCUAACUGGCACAGGUGAGAGGCGAGGGCGAGGGUGGGAUCAGCGGCGGAGGGUGGAGGGUUGGCCGCUUUCCUCACUUUCUUCGCGUGGCGCCGGAAGCUGGUUUCCUUCGGCACUCAAGAGCGGGAAGCGCCAUUGUGAUGGGUCGCUCCUGACUGAGAUCUGCGGAGGGAGUGGGAGCUAACGAGAAACUUUCCAAGGCUAGUGUGCGCCUCCCCUGGUAAUGAGGCGAGCUGGUGGGCGGGUCAGGUGCAGGGGAGGCGCCCCGACGGUGUCAUAUGCCACGCCCUUGCUGCUGACACCGUGAUCCUUGAUCCCCGCCCCCUCACCGCAGUAGAGCACUUUGGGGGCAUGUCGUUCGCAUGCAAAGAAAAAGGCAACACGACACCGGAUUCCCCCUUGGCCCCGCGUCAUUCUGGGUAAUGAAGGGAAAGGGCGUCCCCGUCCCCGUCUUGCCGCCACUGGCCACGGCUACCGCACAUUUAGGGCGUGUAGAGGGCACGUGUAUUUGAGACAAAGCACGUUUUCUGUUGCCUCACAGCAUUUUGCCAUUACAAGAUCCCAAGGUAAAAACCGGGAGAUAAUGGCAGCAUGGAAUUGAAUUAGUCAGUCUUGAGUCAUCGCUGUGGUUGUCAACGGAAGCAUCUUGUUUUUUGUCUUCCUGGUGAAUGAGGAGAAACUGUGCAGCGCUCGAGACGUCAUCUGCUGCAAGGGCACCGUGAUCCUGCACAAUCUGCCCGCUAAUCACUGACUGAGUGACUGACUUCUAUCUUCAUUACUUAUUUGAUUUGCCUACUAU